GAUGAACGCUGGCGGCGUGCCUAAUACAUGCAAGUCGAGCGAAUGGAUUAAGAGCUUGCUCUUAUGAAGUUAGCGGCGGACGGGUGAGAACACGUGGGUAACCUGCCCAUAAGACUGGGAUAACUCCGGGAAACCGGGGCUAAUACCGGAUAACAUUUUGAACCGCAUGGUUCGAAAUUGAAAGGCGGCUUCGGCUGUCACUUAUGGAUGGACCCGCGUCGCAUUAGCUAGUUGGUGAGGUAACGGCUCACCAAGGCAACGAUGCGUAGCCGGCCUGAGAGGGUGAUCGGCCACACGGGGACUGAGACACGGCCCAGACUCCUACGGGAGGCAGCAGUAGGGAAUCUUCCGCAAUGGACGAAAGUCUGACGGAGCAACGCCGCGUGAGUGAUGAAGGCUUUCGGGUCGUAAAACUCUGUUGUUAGGGAAGAACAAGUGCUAGUUGAAUAAGCUGGCACCUUGACGGUACCUAACCAGAAAGCCACGGCUAACUACGUGCCAGCCGCCGCCGUAA
rnacentral:rRNA from 1 species